rnacentral:rRNA from 1 species
GAUGAACGCUGGCGGCGUGCUUAACACAUGCAAGUCGAACGGAAAGGCUCCUGCUUGCAGGGGUACUCGAGUGACGAACGGGUGAGUAACACGUGGGUGAUCUGCCCUGCACUUCGGGAUAAGCCUGGGAAACUGGGUCUAAUACCGGAUAGGACCACAUUUUGGAUGGUGUGGUGGAAAGUUUUUCGGUGUGGGAUGAGCUCGCGGCCUAUCAGCUUGUUGGUGGGGUAAUGGCCUACCAAGGCGUCGACGGGUAGCCGGCCUGAGAGGGUGUACGGCCACAUUGGGACUGAGAUACGGCCCAGACUCCUACGGGAGGCAGCAGUGGGGAAUAUUGCACAAUGGGCGCAAGCCUGAUGCAGCGACGCCGCGUGGGGGAUGACGGCCUUCGGGUUGUAAACUCCUUUCGCUAGGGACGAAGCGUUUUUGUGACGGUACCUGGAGAAGAAGCACCGGCUAACUACGUG